rnacentral:rRNA from 1 species
GAUGAACGCUGGCGGCGUGCCUAACACAUGCAAGUCGAACGGACGAGAAGAGCUUGCUCUUCGAGUUAGUGGCGGACGGGUGAGUAACGCGUGAGCAAUCUGCCUUUCAGAGGGGGAUAACAUUGGGAAACCGGUGCUAAUACCGCAUGAUGUGCGAGGGUCGCAUGACUCUUGUACCAAAGGAGCAAUCCGCUGAAAGAUGAGCUCGCGUCUGAUUAGCUAGUUGGUGAGGUAACGGCCCACCAAGGCGACGAUCAGUAGCCGGACUGAGAGGUUGAACGGCCACAUUGGAACUGAGAUACGGUCCAGACUCCUACGGGAGGCAGCAGUGGGGAAUAUUGGGCAAUGGGCGCAAGCCUGACCCAGCAACGCCGUGUGAAGGAAGAAGGGUCUUCGGGAUUGUAAACUUUUGUCUUAUGGGUACGAUAGUGACGGUACCAUAGGAGGAAGUCACGACUAACUACGUG